rnacentral:rRNA from 1 species
UACGGAGGAUCCAAGCGUUAUCCGGAAUCAUUGGGUUUAAAGGGUCCGUAGGCGGUCAGAUAAGUCAGUGGUGAAAGCCCAUCGCUCAACGAUGGAACGGCCAUUGAUACUGUCUGACUUGAAUUACUGGGAAGUAACUAGAAUAUGUAGUGUAGCGGUGAAAUGCUUAGAUAUUACAUGGAAUACCAAUUGCGAAGGCAGGUUACUACCAGUGGAUUGACGCUGAUGGACGAAAGCGUGGGGAGCGAACAGG